GUGUCAGCAGCCGCGGUAAUACAGAGGGUGCAAGCGUUAAUCGGAAUUACUGGGCGUAAAGGGCGCGUAGGCGGCUUGGUAAGUCGGAUGUGAAAGCCCCGGGCUCAACCUGGGAACUGCAUUCGAGACUGCCUGGCUAGAGUAUGAUAGAGGGAAGCGGAAUUCCACAUGUAGCGGUGAAAUGCGUAGAUAUGUGGAGGAACAUCAGUGGCGAAGGCGGCUUCCUGGAUCAAUACUGACGCUGAGGCGCGAAAGCGUGGGGAGCAAACAGGAUUAGAUACCCUGGUAGUCCACGCUGUAAACGAUGAGAACUAGAUGUUGGGAGGUUUAACCUCUUAGUGUCGAAGCUAACGCGAUAAGUUCUCCGCCUGGGGAGUACGGCCGCAAGGUUAAA
rnacentral:rRNA from 1 species